UCCUGGUUAACCCAGGCAGUCUCGUUAGAGUUCCCACCUUAAAUGCUGGCAACUAACGAUAAGGGUUGCGCUCGUUGCGGGACUUAACCCAACACCUCACGGCACGAGCUGACGACAGCCAUGCAGCACCUGUGUAGCGGUCCCGAAGGAAGAUGCCAUUUCUGGCACUGUCCACUACAUGUCAAGCCUGGGUAAGGUUCUUCGCGUUGCAUCGAAUUAAACCACAUGCUCCACUGCUUGUGCGGGUCCCCGUCAAUUCUUUUGAGUUUCACCCUUGCGAGCGUACUCCCCAGGCGGUAUACUUAACGCGUUUGCUCCGGCACAGCCAGGGUUGAGUCCAGCUACACCAAGUAUACAUAGUUUACGGCAAGGACUAC
rnacentral:misc_RNA from 1 species